rnacentral:tRNA from 1 species
GGGGCCGUAGGGUAGCCUGGUCCAUCCUCCCAGCCUCCCAUGCUGGUGACUCCGGUUCAAAUCCGGGCGGCCCCA